AAUACGGAGUAUCGCAUUGGUGCAGCGACGCAGCUGCUGAAAAGGGAAGUCCGGUGAAAGACCGGCGCAGUCUUACCUCUACUGUAAGCGUGGACGACGGCGUACAAAAGCCCAUUGGUAAUGAUCGAUUGCCGAGAAGGGACGCCCGAGGGAGAAGCGCAAGCCAGGAGACCUGCCGUGCGGAAUACACAAGCA
rnacentral:ncRNA from 17 species